UGUGGCUGGGGGUGAAAGGCCAAUCAAACCGGGAGAUAGCUGGUUCUCCCCGAAAGCUAUUUAGGUAGCGCCUCGUGAAUUCAUCUCCGGGGGUAGAGCACUGUUUCGGCAAGGGGGUCAUCCCGACUUACCAACCCGAUGCAAACUGCGAAUACCGGAGAAUGUUAUCACGGGAGACACACGGCGGGUGCUAACGUCCGUCGUGAAGAGGGAAACAACCCAGACCGCCAGCUAAGGUCCCAAAGUCAUGGUUAAGUGGGAAACGAUGUGGGAAGGCCCAGACAGCCAGGAUGUUGGCUUAGAAGCAGCCAUCAUUUAAAGAAAGCGUAAUAGCUCACUGGUCGAGUCGGCCUGCGCGGAAGAUGUAACGGGGCUAAACCAUGCACCGAAGCUGCGGCAGCGACGCUUAUGCGUUGUUGGGUAGGGGAGCGUUCUGUAAGCCUGCGAAGGUGUACUGUGAGGUAUGCUGGAGGUAUCAGAAGUGCGAAUGCUGACAUAAGUAACGAUAAAGCGGGUGAAAAGCCCGCUCGCCGGAAGACCAAGGGUUCCUGUCCAACGUUAAUCGGGGCAGGGUGAGUCGACCCCUAAGGCGAGGCCGAAAGGCGUAGUCGAUGGGAAACAGGUUAAUAUUCCUGUACUUGGUGUUACUGCGAAGGGGGGACGGAGAAGGCUAUGUUGGCCGGGCGACGGUUGUCCCGGUUUAAGCGUGUAGGCUGGUUUUCCAGGCAAAUCCGGAAAAUCAAGGCUGAGGCGUGAUGACGAGGCACUACGGUGCUGAAGCAACAAAUGCCCUGCUUCCAGGAAAAGCCUCUAAGCAUCAGGUAACAUCAAAUCGUACCCCAAACCGACACAGGUGGUCAGGUAGAGAAUACCAAGGCGCUUGAGAGAACUCGGGUGAAGGAACUAGGCAAAAUGGUGCCGUAACUUCGGGAGAAGGCACGCUGAUAUGUAGGUGAAGUCCCUUGCGGAUGGAGCUGAAAUCAGUCGAAGAUACCAGCUGGCUGCAACUGUUUAUUAAAAACACAGCACUGUGCAAACACGAAAGUGGACGUAUACGGUGUGACGCCUGCCCGGUGCCGGAAGGUUAAUUGAUGGGGUUAGCGGUAACGCGAAGCUCUUGAUCGAAGCCCCGGUAAACGGCGGCCGUAACUAUAACGGUCCUAAGGUAGCGAAAUUCCUUGUCGGGUAAGUUCCGACCUGCACGAAUGGCGUAAUGAUGGCCAGGCUGUCUCCACCCGAGACUCAGUGAAAUUGAACUCGCUGUGAAGAUGCAGUGUACCCGCGGCAAGACGGAAAGACCCCGUGAACCUUUACUAUAGCUUGACACUGAACAUUGAGCCUUGAUGUGUAGGAUAGGUGGGAGGCUUUGAAGUGUGGACGCCAGUCUGCAUGGAGCCGACCUUGAAAUACCACCCUUUAAUGUUUGAUGUUCUAACGUUGGCCCCUAAUCGGGGUUGCGGACAGUGUCUGGUGGGUAGUUUGACUGGGGCGGUCUCCUCCUAAAGAGUAACGGAGGAGCACGAAGGUUGGCUAAUCCUGGUCGGACAUCAGGAGGUUAGUGCAAUGGCAUAAGCCAGCUUGACUGCGAGCGUGACGGCGCGAGCAGGUGCGAAAGCAGGUCAUAGUGAUCCGGUGGUUCUGAAUGGAAGGGCCAUCGCUCAACGGAUAAAAGGUACUCCGGGGAUAACAGGCUGAUACCGCCCAAGAGUUCAUAUCGACGGCGGUGUUUGGCACCUCGAUGUCGGCUCAUCACAUCCUGGGGCUGAAGUAGGUCCCAAGGGUAUGGCUGUUCGCCAUUUAAAGUGGUACGCGAGCUGGGUUUAGAACGUCGUGAGACAGUUCGGUCCCUAUCUGCCGUGGGCGCUGGAGAACUGAGGGGGGCUGCUCCUAGUACGAGAGGACCGGAGUGGACGCAUCACUGGUGUUCGGGUUGUCAUGCCAAUGGCACUGCCCGGUAGCUAAAUGCGGAAGAGAUAAGUGCUGAAAGCAUCUAAGCACGAAACUUGCCCCGAGAUGAGUUCUCCCUGACUCCCUGAGAGUCCUGAAGGAACGUUGAAGACGACGACGUUGAUAGGCCGGGUGUGUAAGCGCAGCGAUGCGUUGAGCUAACCGGUACUAAUGAACCGUGAGGCUUAACCUU
rnacentral:rRNA from 1 species